rnacentral:rRNA from 1 species
UACGGGGGGGGCAAGCGUUGUUCGGAAUUACUGGGCGUAAAGGGCUCGUAGGCGGCCAACUAAGUCAGACGUGAAAUCCCUCGGCUUAACCGGGGAACUGCAUCUGAUACUGGAUGGCUUGAGUUCGGGAGAGGGAUGUGGAAUUCCAGGUGUAGCGGUGAAAUGCGUAGAUAUCUGGAGGAACACCGGUGGCGAAGGCGGCAUCCUGGACCGAUACUGACGCUGAGGAGCGAAAGCGUGGGGAGCGAACAGG